AGAUGCAUUCAUCAUUUCUUUUACAAAAAAAUUAAGAAGUUUGGGUGUAGCAGAUUUAGAUAAAAAUCAAGCCGGAGGAAUUUAGCAGGUCAGGAGAAAGUUAACUACAAGAAUCAAUAGCACAAGGUAUCUAUUUAUACACUUUCUUCUCCUUAAAUAAGUUGGUUAAUUUUCUUUUAAAUGGUGAAAAUUGCCGGUGGACCAUUUUCCCUUUCUUUUUCCCUGUAAUAAACUAGAUUCUACUUUCAAGUGUUAAAGUCUAAGCAGACAUAUUUGGUGAGGUUCUGUAAUUCUCCAAUAUAUAUAUUAAGGCUAAAGUCAGGUUUUAUAUAAUUGGGGAUUUUGGUUUAAUGGUGGACAAUUGAAUAAUUGGGACUGUUGAAACUUGUAUUGGUUUGAAUUGGGUUUGCAAAAAUGGAAUAACGGAGGAAAGGAGGGAGCAAAGAGGCCAGAAUGGUAAACUCAAAAGCUGAGAAUUUCUUAAAACAAUUAUACUAAUAAUAAUAUUAAUGAUGAUAAUAUUAAGAUACAAUAAUAAUAAUAAUAAUAGAAAAUAAGAAUAAAACAAUAGAAUUGGUGAAGUAGUUCUGAGUGGGAUUUAGAAAUUAAACAUAAUAGUUUAAAAUUAUUUAAGUGGUGAAUGUUGGAGAUUAAAGAAUUAAUUUAGUUAUCAUAAAUCAACGGAAUUUCCAUUGAAUUGGGAUUGAGAGGAUAAUAGUACAUUAAGUUUGUUUAUUAAAAAUGAUGUUUAUUAUCAAGCAAGCAAGAAUCUGCCGAAUUUUUAAAAUAAGAUAGAACCUCGAGUUAGGUGGGAUAUCGUCGACUAUUUAUUGGGAGUAUUAUAGACAUGCUUAAAUUUAACAAAUAACAAAUAGAAAUAGAAAUAGAACACAUAAAGGAAAAGGAGUUGAUUAGUUAACCAUAUAUAUAAAUAUAUAAAUCACUCGGGACUAAAAGUUGUGUGAGAUUAAAUAUGAUUAAGUAAUUUAUUGAAAAUCUCCUGAGAUCAUUAUUACUAAAUUUUCUAUUAUGUGACGUAGAAUAUUAAUUCUUGGAAAAGGCGAAGCCAGUUAUAUAUUAAACACUCGGAAAUAAUAAUCAAGCUAAGGACGACAGGCAAGUUCACUAUCCUUGUCUCGACGUGAAAUUUUUCGUGUCUAUUUCAUAAUUUUGUGAUAAGUGUUGAUUGUGAAAAUAUUUCAUUUCGUACCAUUGUGAAUUGAGAAAAUGUCUCCGUUUCAUUUUGAAGUCUUUAAAGAUAUUGUGCACAUAUGAUCACUUUCUAUAAUUCGAGCCCUCCCAUUGUUCGGGAAUGAGCUAGUCCUAUAACGAUAAUAUUCAGAAUCUUUGAAACUCGAAGUGAAUACAUGGCAGCGAUGAUCUCACCACAAUUAACUUACUCCCUUUUUGGAGAUCAUCUUAUUCUUUGGAAUUUAAUUCUUUUAAUUAUUUCUUCACUUCUACCUUCGGGUAAUCUUUGUUGAAAGGGUGCAUUGUUCGCACUUCUUUGGUAGAGAUGAGGUUUGUGAGAAUUUCCUUGUUUUCGGAGGAAUCUGUUCAAGCUGGUCAACACGAAUUUAUAAAAUUCGUGGUAGAGUUGAAUUUACUAUCUGGUAAGGCAGAUAGUUUAGGGUUACAAAUGUUAACCCUUAUGCUAGCAAAUGAGAGUGGUAGGUGGGUCUUGUGCAGUUACGAUCAGACUGCAAAGGUCACACAGGAGAACGGUAUUCACGAAAUGGUGCUGAUCGAGCCAUGUAGUGUUACCGAAAGGUGGAAGACCAGCGUUUUCUUUAUUUGAACUUGUGUUGUCAUUUGACGGUAGCUGCUUUGUUGCUUUGACUUGAAUUGUUUUCAAUGCCUUACGUGCAUAUUCUGUUGAUUGUUAUUUUGUUCUAUGUGGACUUGCUGAGCAAUUUGAUUGCUCAUUCUUGCAUCCAUUUUAUUCUUUUUGAGCAGUAAAUAGUGAGUAUGGCACAACUCAAGAGAACCGCCCGGAAAUGGGUUUUUGGCAAAGGCAGGGAAAAGGCGCAUCACCCAAGCUGAGACUGCUAGACUACACUGCUUGUUAGUACGAGCUAUAGUUAUUAUAAUGGUCUAAAAUCAGACUUCCCUUUAUGUAAUAAAGUUAGACUCGGUAGUAAUGUUGUAAGACAAGCGAUCCUGGACUUGUGGGGCAAGAGUUGGAUUAUGUAAUAUUAAUAUGUAAUUCAAGUGUUGUUUUGAGCCAGAUGUUUAGUGGCGG
rnacentral:lncRNA from 1 species